rnacentral:rRNA from 1 species
AUUGAACGCUGGCGGCAGGCCUAACACAUGCAAGUCGAGCGGGAACUUCGGUUCUAGCGGCGGACGGGUGAGUAAUGCGUAGGAAGCUACCCGACAGAGGGGGAUACCAGUUGGAAACGACUGUUAAUACCGCAUAAUGUCUACGGACCAAAGUGUGGGACCUUCGGGCCACAUGCUGUCGGAUGCGCCUACGCGGGAUUAGCUAGUUGGUGAGGUAACGGCUCAUCAAGGCGACGAUCCCUAGCUGGUUUGAGAGGAUGAUCAGCCACACUGGAACUGAGACACGGUCCAGACUCCUACGGGAGGCAGCAGUGGGGAAUAUUGGACAAUGGGCGAAAGCCUGAUCCAGCCAUGCCGCGUGUGUGAAGAAGGCCUUCGGGUUGUAAAGCACUUUCAGUAGGGAGGAAGAGUUGAGUGUUAAUAGUACUCAGCUUUGACGUUACCUACAGAAGAAGCACCGGCUAACUCUGUGCCAGCCGCCGCGGUAAAAC